AAACUAAAGAUGGCGACCGGCGCACGGGUGAGUAACACGUAUCCAACCUGCCGAUAACUCGGGGAUAGCCUUUCGAAAGAAAGAUUAAUAUCCGAUAGUAUAUUAGAACCGCAUGGUUUUACUAUUAAAGAAUUUCGGUUAUCGAUGGGGAUGCGUUCCAUUAGUUUGUUGGCGGGGUAACGGCCCACCAAGACUACGAUGGAUAGGGGUUCUGAGAGGAAGGUCCCCCACAUUGGAACUGAGACACGGUCCAA
rnacentral:rRNA from 1 species